UACGGGGGGGGCAAGCGUUGUUCGGAAUUACUGGGCGUAAAGGGCGCGUAGGCGGUUCGCUAAGUUGGAUGUGAAAACUCUGGGCUCAACCCAGAGCCUGCAUCCAAAACUGGCGGGCUAGAGUUCUGGAGGGGGUAGCGGAAUUCCUGGUGUAGCGGUGAAAUGCGUAGAUAUCAGGAGGAACACCGGUGGCGAAGGCGGCCGCCUGGACCAGCACUGACACUGAGGCACGAAAGCGUGGGGAGCAAACAGG
rnacentral:rRNA from 1 species